rfam:Solanum tuberosum cultivar DM 1-3 516 R44 scf00099_45, whole genome shotgun sequence.
AUACCUUUCUCGGCCUUUUGGCUAAGAUCAAGUGUAGUAUCUGUUCUUAUCAGUUUAAUAUCUGAUAUGUGGGUCAUUGGUCCACAUGAUAUUAACUCAAUUUUUUAAGGGGGAGAGUUCAUCAAGGUAGCUUGCUACCUGCGCUCUCAAGCGUCGUCCAUGCGCUGCACUAUUGCAAGGGCCCGGCCCACCCCAA